rnacentral:lncRNA from 1 species
CCUGACCUCAGAGAUUUUCCCAUUCUCAAAGGCAGACCCUGGUCUGCUCAAUUCUGAGUUGCUAUUCAAAGCACCUGCCACAUGAGGGUGCUCUUACACUUUUAAAGAGAGAUGCUCUGUUCAACUUAGAAUCUGAACAUUAGAAACGAAAACAUUGCUUCGGUUGCUCAACAUUUGAAAAUGGAAAUGUAGAAGAGUAUCUCCUAUGUAUUGAUGGGUGGCUGCACACAGGGGCUUUUACGUUCUUCCUUUUCCCUAGGAGAAACUUUUUGUAUUGUUAUGUGCUAUUUAGCUUCUCUAAAGUGCUAUUUUCAAAAAACACUUCUUAUUUAAUAUUUUGGGCAAAUGGUUGGCAUGUAGAACAUUGUCACAGGAUGGUUUUGAGGUGAUGGAAGAAUAGUAUUCAGUGGGACAGAUAUGAGUGGGUGAAAGGAUUGCCCCUGGGUACUGUCAUAUGUCCCCCCAGGCAACCAGUUCUUAUUAGCCUGGUCCCACCAACCAUGGAAGAAUUAUUGAGAAGAUACUGCCUUACAAAGGUCCCUGGGCUUCUGUCUGAAAUAACAGACUAUGGAAUGAGUGGAAUAUUCCCAUUUUCAUCUUAUUCCCAGGCAUGGACCUCUGAAGAGUGCCCAAACAGUGAGAAAUCCCAUCUCUGUUGAAGGUCACAGGGAAGCUCUGGCCAUGUCCAGAGAAACUGGCCAUGUCCUAAGCUAAUGAAAUUAGCUAAGAGACUUUCUUGUAAUUGAGGUUUUCUUAUGAUGGUGUUAUUGAAGAUUGCCUAAAAUGUAUAAAUCAAGAAAUUUAAUUAUAAACUCAUUUAGAAUUUAAAGGUAACUUGCUUUAAGAAAAAAACAGAAAUGGCGUAAGUAUAUGCUGUCCCACAGGGACCUGGGCUGGGAGGGAAAGCAAAGGGCUAGACAAGAAGUACCUGCUCUUCCCUAGAAACCUUUCUACACUUUUGGUGAUUGUACCAUAAGCCAGAAUUUUGGCUUAAGAAUUUAAAUGAAAUUAAGGGCAGCCUCUGCUUCUACUUAGGAUGGAUAAUAUCACCUUGCUAGGUGCUCCAUCCCCAUGAAGCCAGGUCCUUUCAGGUGAGUGAGAAAUACAAAUUUAUUUUGCUUACAUCAUUUGGGCUCUUUGGUGAAAUGCCAUCAAACUGAUGUUAGCUGAUAUGGUGAGGACUGUCUGCAUUCACAGUGUCAAGACCAACAUUUACCUUCUGUUCGGCAUAGCGAUCACACUUAUCCUUUGUCUGGAUUGAAUCUAAGUGCUGAAAAUGAAUAGAUAGCAAUCACCUUACUAUGCUGUACUGUUCAUCUCCUCAGAGCUACAAUCUGUGGGACUCAGUCUGCUUUCUCCUUGUGACAUCUGUACCACUUGUAGGGUAAUGUCCCAGUUUCAAAGUUCUGUGUGUUCCUGUGCUUCUUAAAUUAUGCUCACUUUACUUUGCUUCCUGUUUAACUAUCUUUAUUGGGUAGGAUUUUGUUUUUCUUAGAUUUUCUAGUUUUCCUUUGUUGAUUUUGCUGCUGCUGCUGCUGAUGUGCCUUAAUCCUAUCCUCCACUCAACCAGCAUUUCCAGAGCAUUCACUUGGUAUGCCCUUUUCUCCUGGAGUCCUUUUGGAUCUUUGGACCUUCCAGGUCUGCAGAUUACCUUCACUGGUUUAAAAGUUUAUUCCAUUCCUUUAUUGAGAAAAAUAAUUUUAUUCUAUUUUUUGGAUGGUUUUCCCCCUCGUCUACUUUCCUCUUCUUUUUCUUUUGUAAUUUUGAUAUCUCUUGCUCUCUCAUAUGUGCCCUGGUAAUUAAAAGAAAACAAAAUCAGUUCUGAGGAUGUAGCUCAGUGGUAGAGCACUUGCCUAGCAUGCAUAAGGCCUUGGGUUUGAUCCCAGCUCUGGGGGAAAGAAAAUCAGCUACUCUAUUUUGUAAUCAUUCUAUUGAUUUUUAAUAUUUGCCUUAUUGUACCAAUUACAUCUGCAUUUUUUUAGAUUUUUUCCAUAAUUUCAUGUCCUGUGGUCCUUUUUUUCUGGUAACUUGUUCUUUCUUCUGUAUGCCUUUCUAAAUGUGUAGUUGAUGCAGUUGCCUUUCAAAUUUCAUCGGGUGGCAUGUCCUGCAAACUCCAUUUUGUUGCUGUUUGAGGGCUACUCCUGUGGUAUCACCUUCUUAGCAUUUCUUGCCCUGAGCCUGGCCCAUCAUACUGAAGACCAGAAUCACCUUCAGGUAGUCCCAGGUACUGGUGGUGGCAACUUUAGGGUUGUAGAAAUAAGUCAAUGGGAGAAUUUAUGCAGGUCUGACCCCAGAGUUCAUGAGAAGAACCACUCACCAUAUGGAAGAGAUUAGGAGGAAGUAAUUGGGACUGCUUCCUCAAGAAAGUGACAUUUCAGUGGACUUUGAAGGUAAGUGAUAACUCACAGUGUGGGACACAGAAGUUAGUGUACAUUUCAUAGAAAUGAGAAAUGUUUGAGGGGAUAGAAAAUGCUAAGUACUCCAACUUGAUCAUUAAUCAUUGUAUAAAUGUAUGAAAUUAUGUGCAAAUAUUCUGUCAGAUAAAAAUAAAUUUUUUAAUUGAGAAAAAAAGAAAGUUGAUAUGUAUUCAUUUGUCAAACAUUUCAGGACUUCCCACAUGCCAUGUGUACCUUACUCAGUAUAAACGUGUCAAUUACUUUUCCAAGAACUUGCAGUCUAGAGGGACAGAUAGACUUGGUACAGAUGAAUGAUCAAGCUUGAUCAUCAGCUUCCCUUCUGCUGC